UGACAGAUCCACCCAGGCGCCCCGGCUUUACCUUUGAAACAACACCAGAAUCCUGUCACUUCUCACCACCUCCACUGCUGCUGUGUUUCUUCUGCUUUCAGUCAGUAAGGGACAGCCAGGUUCUUAGCUCACAGAAGAGACUCAAGCUUUGAUUCCCGAGAGAUCUGUGCCCUGGGGGACCCUCUUGUAUGGAACUGCAGCAGUCUUGCUGUGACUCUGAUCACAGGAUUUGUACUAGGAAUAGGAUCAUUCGAGAAUACAGGAGCAUGAAGCGUUCAAAAUGGUUGGGUGGCAGUUUCAACUUCCAGUUUGGUGGGAAAACUGUGUCACUUGGUGGAGGCAUUCGUCCCUCAGACACUACAGGCUUUUAACACACCUCUCCUCCAUUAGUCAUGAGGCCAAGAAGCAAAGAAUGUUUGAGUUGUAAAACGGUUUCAUUGUGAGAGAGCCACUCCUACAUCCAGCCCCUUGGUCCUCGAACUGCUCUCUGGCUAAAGGAGAAACAGUACGUACCCUGGUUCAGAGCAUUACUGUAUCCUGUGGAUGGCUCUCUAGUUCAUGAAGUGUCUACAGCUGGGACCUUACGUGGACCUUCAGGAGGCCUUUCCACCAUGGUAGAAUGCUGACUAAUGGAUCACGUGGUAAGACCAAUGAAUCCUGCGGGUAUCCCCUGCUCAGUUUCCCACUUCUUGUCUUGCAAAGUGAUUUCCAUGGUUAGAAACAAUAUUUUGUGAGAUAACAAGACUGCGUAUUAAGUCCACAGAUGGAGAUGUCCGUCUUCUUUAGCCCAUGCAGUUAGUCUCCACUCCUGUCAUCAUGGUCCUUUUUCAAUGAACCUAUGGAACAAGAGCUGCACUGGCUGGGGGAAAAGGCCAUCUGGUUAACAUCCACAGAACAUUCUAUUUGCUAUUCAAAGCUUCCCCCAUAGUUGAGGCCCAUGGUGACUAUUUGUAUGGCAUACCUUCUGUCUCAUGAUCUGGGACCAUUCUAAGAAAUUCAUCUUUCCCAAGCCUCUUUGUCAUGAACUUCCAAUCUUGUAAGACUUUCAGCUGUUCAAAUCAUUAGUCAUUGCCCAUGAACUGGUACAGGUCCUCACCUCGGGCCAUCUUUUCUUCCAGGCAAAGUGGGUAAUGAGACAUGCUGC